rnacentral:rRNA from 1 species
UUUUCCACUAUCAAUCCCAAAAAGCCUAACUCUGCCUUACGUAAAGUUGCCAGAGUACGAUUAACCUCUGGAUUUGGAAUCACUGCUUAUAUAGCUGGUAUUGGCCAUAAUUUAGAAGAAAAUUUUGUAGUAUUAGUAAGAGGAGGAAGGGUUCCUCGGUGUGAGAUAUCGCAUUAUUCGGGGAACCCUUGA